rnacentral:rRNA from 1 species
CAAGACCUUGUGCUUUAGGAGCGGCCGAUGUCAGAUUAGCUAGUUGGUGGGGUAACGGCCCACCAAGGCGACGAUCUGUAGCGGGUCUGAGAGGAUGAUCCGCCACACUGGGACUGAGACACGGCCCAGACUCCUACGGGAGGCAGCAGUGGGGAAUUUUGGACAAUGGGGGCAACCCUGAUCCAGCCAUGCCGCGUGAGUGAAGAAGGCCUUCGGGUUGUAAAGCUCUUUCGGCCGGGAAGAAAUCGUGUGGGCUAAUAUCCUGCAUGGAUGACGGUACCGGACUAAGAAGCACCGGCUAACUACGUGCCAGCAGCCGCGGUAAUACGUAGGGUGCGAGCGUUAAUCGGAAUUACUGGGCGUAAAGCGUGCGCAGGCGGUUUUUUAAGACAGGCGUGAAAUCCCCGGGCUUAACCUGGGAACU